rnacentral:rRNA from 1 species
CCUACGUGGUGCAGCAGUGGGGAAUAUUGCACAAUGGGGGAAACCCUGCUGCAGCGACGCCGCGUGAGUGAAGAAGUAAUUCGUUAUGUAAAGCUCUAUCAGCAGGGAAGAAAAUGACGGUACCUGAGUAAGAAGCCCCGGCUAACUACGUGCCAGCAGCCGCGGUAAUAAGGAGGGGGCAGGCGUUAACCGGAUUUACUGGGUGUAAAGGGGGGUGAGACGGCAGUGCAGGUGUGGAGUGAAGGGUGGGGGCUCAACCCCCGGACUGCUCUGGAAACUGUAGGGCUGGAGUGCGGGAGAGGUAAGUGGAAUUCGUGGUGUAGCGGUGAAAUGCGUAGAUAUUAGGAAGAACACCAGUGGCGAAGGCGGCUUACUGGACUGUAACUGACGUUGAGGCUCGAAAGCGUGGGGAGCAAACAGGAUUAGAUACCCUAGUAGUC